rnacentral:rRNA from 1 species
CCUAACACAUGCAAGUCGAACGUGAAAGGGAGCAAUCCCAAGUAAAGUGGCGUACGGGUGAGUAACGCGUAGGUAAUCUACCCCAGAGUCUGGAAUAACCGGCCGAAAGGCUGGCUAAUACUAGAUAGAGCGAUGGAAUCCGUAAUUGGGUUUUUCGGGAAAGGGAGGAAGCAAUUCCCUUUGCUCUGGGAUGAGCCUGCGUCUCAUUAGCUAGUUGGUGGGGUAAUGGCCUACCAAGGCUUUGAUGGGUAGCUGGUCUGAGAGGAUGAUCAGCCACACUGGAACUGAAACACGGUCCAGACUCCUACGGGAGGCAGCAGUGGGGAAUCUUGCGCAAUGGACGAAAGUCUGACGCAGCCACGCCGCGUGAGUGACGAAGGCCUUCGGGUUGUAAAGCUCUGUCGUCCGGGACGAAAAUCCAUUAGGUGAAUAGCCUAGUGGACUGACGGUACCGGAAAAGGAAGCACCGGCUAACUCCGUGCCAGCAGCCGCGGUAAUACGGAGGGUGCAAGCGUUGCUCGGAAUUAUUGGGCGUAAAGGGUAGGUAGGUGGUCUCAUUUGUCUAGGGUGAAAGCCUUGAGCUUAACUCAAGAAGUGCCUUAGAAACGGUGAGACUAGAGACUUGGAGAGGGUC